rnacentral:snRNA from 1 species
UGGAAGUCGAAAUCCGCUAA